rnacentral:lncRNA from 1 species
UUAGACUGGAGUGUCAAACACCAGUAAACAAAACGCAACAAUAGUAGGUAAUAGUUUUACCACUUUAUCCUUAAUAUGGGUGUGAAAAUAAGACUUUUGGGUAUCCAAAUAAGUAAAUUACAAAUGUUAUUAUUAUAUAGUAAUUAAAUAAAUUUUAUUCUUUUAUAUAUAUUGAUGUAGUAAAUAUAUAAAUUUAUCAUAAAAUAUAUAAAUUAUAUGUUUAUUUUCAUAAUUAUUUUAACAUUUACUAUAAAUAUUGUAACAGACCCAUUUUGCCCGGCCCGAGCACAAACCAAUAAAAAACAAAAAUAUAAAAUAAAGUCCCAAAAUCAUCAAGUCAAUAUACAAUAAAUCAUUAGCCCAAAUAAAAACCCAAAUACAAGGCCCAAAACUUGCAUGCCCAAAACUACAACCCAACCCAAAAACAUGGCCCAAAACAUAAAACAACAAGAGAAACCCUAGUAACUUAGGAUGCCAUGCCUCCAUGUGCGCCAGCGGCACGCACGACGCCCAAGAUUCAGCCCCCAUUUCACCCAAAUGACCGUCUACAGCACCGUUGAAACGAAAAAGGAAACAAGGUAAGACAACAGAACAAAAAGGCAGCAAAGGAUGAGAAGCAGAAACAAAGCAAAACAGUAGCAAGAAUAGACUAAAACAUUUAUAUUCAGCAAUAUAGCCACAAACACGAAACAUUGUAACACACAGACGAUUAAGCAAUAAAAAAAAAACAAAAAGGUUGAAUUUCAUUCUCUCGUCUUUUUAUUUUCGUUUCUUUAUUUUUUUAUCUUUUAUUUUUUUUAUUUUUCUUAAAUCAGUUUUGAAACAAAAAAUAAAGAGGAAGAGAAAAGAGGACUUACUUGAAACUCGGAGUCGCGACGUCGGAACCCCUGCUUCGUCGUUGGGAUCGACUUCCAAAGGGGAAAACGGGGGUCUCUUCUCUCGUGCUUUUGGGGUUAAGAGAACACAGCCUUCGGGUACUUCAAAAUAGGGGUAAAAAAACCCUGUUCACGCGACCCCAACCACCGCCCAUGGUGGACCGACGAUGGCGGCGAUGAUGGGCUAGUAUAAAUCCUAGCAGAGGAAAUAGGGAUCGGGGAGUGUUUCUGUUUUCUUAGUAAAGAAAGAAGAAUGAUUUUUUUUUUAAGAUGGUUUAAAUGGCAAAGCAAAAACAACGUCG